GUGAGGAAUAUUGGUCAAUGGGCGAAAUCCUGAACCAGCCAUGUCGCGUGAAGGAUGAAGGUCCUAUGGAUUGUAAACUUCUUUUGCAGGAGGGUAAAGUGAGCUACGUGUAGUUCAUUGCAAGUACCCUGCGAAUAAGCAUCGGCUAACUCCGUGCCAGCAGCCGCGGUAAUACGGAGGAUGCGAGCGUUAUCCGGAUUUAUUGGGUUUAAAGGGUGCGUAGGCGGACUAAUUAGUCAGCGGUGAAAUUUUGCGGCUCAACCGUAAAACUGCCGUUGAAACUGUUAGUCUUGAGUGCGGUAGAGGUAGGCGGAAUGUGUGGUGUAGCGGUGAAAUGCUUAGAUAUCACACAGAACACCGAUUGCGUAGGCAGCUUACUGGAGCGCAACUGACGCUGAGGCACGAAAGCGUGGGGAUCGAACAGGAUUAGAUACCCCUGUAGUCC
rnacentral:rRNA from 1 species